rnacentral:rRNA from 1 species
GAUGAACGCUGGCGGCGUGCCUAAUACAUGCAAGUCGAGCGAAGCGGGGACGGGUGAGUAACACGUGGAUAACCUCCUCUUAGACUGGGAUAACUUCUGGAAACCGUAGCUAAACCGGAUACUUAUAGUUGGAUCCCCGCUGCAUUAGCUAGUUGGUAAGGUAACGGCUUACCAAGGCAACGAUGAAUAGCCGACUGGAGAGGGUGAUCGGCCACACUGGAACUGAGACACGGUCCAGAUUCCUGCGGGAGGAAGAAGUAGGGAAUCUGCCGAAAUGGGGGAAAGCCUGACGGGGCAACGCCGCGGAGGUGAUGAAGGUCUUGGGAUCGUAAAACUCUGUGAUUAGGGAAGCGGUACCUAAUCAGAAAGCCACGGCUAACUACGUGCCAGCAGCCGCGGUAAUUC